rnacentral:rRNA from 1 species
CGGCGUGCCUAACACAUGCAAGUCAAGGGGAAAGUCAUCUUCGGAUGGCGAGUAUACUGGCGGACGGGUGAGUAACGCGUAGGCAACCUACCCCUAUGACCGGGAUAACCUUGCGAAAGCGGGGCUAAUACUGGAUGUGGUCCUGACGGCGCCUGUCGUUAGGAUUAAAGCUGCUCUUUUGUGGGGUAGCGCAUAGGGAUGGGCCUGCGUCCCAUUAGCUAGUUGGUGGGGUGACGGCCCACCGAGGCGACGAUGGGUAGCUGGCGUGAGAGCGUGAUCAGCCACACUGGGACUGAGAUACGGCCCAGACUCCUACGGGAGGCAGCAGUGGGGAAUAUUGCGCAAUGCCCGCAAGGGUGACGCAGCGACGCCGCGUGGGGGAUGAAGCUCUACGGAGUGUAAACCCCUGUCAGAGGGGAAGAAGGUGUCGGAUUCGCAAGGGUCUGGCAUUGACGGUACCCUCAGAGGAAGCUCCGGCUAACUCCGUGCCAGCAGCCGCGGUAAUACGGGGGGAGCAAGCGUUGUCCGGAAUCACUGGGCGUAAAGGGCGUGUAGGCGGGUAGCCAAGUCAGAUGUAAAAGGUCGCGGCUCAACCGCGGUUGGUCAUCUGAAACUGGCUAUCUUGAGUUCGAGAGAGGGUGGUGGAAUUCCCGGUGUAGCGGUGAAAUGCGUAGAUAUCGGGAAGAACACCGGAGGCGAAGGCGGCCACCUGGCUCGACACUGACGCUGAGGCGCGAAAGCGUGGGGAGCAAACAGGAUUAGA